UACGAGGGGGGCAAGCGUUGUUCGGAAUUAUUGGGCGUAAAGGGUGUGUAGGCGGUUCUUUAAGUUUGGUGUGAAAUCUCCCGGCUCAACCGGGAGGGUGCGCCGAAUACUGAGGAGCUAGAGUGCGGGAGAGGAAAGUGGAAUUCCUGGUGUAGCGGUGAAAUGCGUAGAUAUCAGGAGGAACACCGGUGGUGUAGACGGCUUUCUGGACCGUAACUGACGCUGAGACACGAAAGCGUGGGUAGCAAACAGG
rnacentral:rRNA from 1 species